CCGCACAAGCGGUGGAGCAUGUGGUUAAUUCGACGCAACGCGAAGAACCUUACCAGGACUUGACAUCCCCUGACCGCGUAUGAAAGUACGUUUUCACCCUCGGGUGACAGGGAGACAGGUGGUGCAUGGUUGUCGUCAGCUCGUGUCGUGAGAUGUUGGGUUAAGUCCCGCAACGAGCGCAACCCCUACGUUUAGUUGCUAACGCGUGAAGGCGAGCACUCUAGACGAACUGCCGUUGACAAAACGGAGGAAGGUGGGAUGACGUCAAAUCAUCAUGCCCCUUAUGUUCUGGGCUACACACGUGCUACAAUGGCCGGUACAGACGGAGGCGAAGCCGCGAGGCGGAGCAAAUCCGAAAAAGCCGGUCUCAGUUCGGAUUGCAGGCUGCAAUUCGCCUGCAUGAAGUCGGAAUCGCUAGUAAUCGCAGGUCAGCAUACUGCGGUGAAUACGUUCCCGGGCCUU
rnacentral:rRNA from 1 species